AAAGCAGAAAUAAAUUUGUCCACACUUCAAACCAUGUCACCCAUUGUGCAAGUUCCAGGGAAAAUUAUUUAAAGCAAGGACUUCAUCUUUGCCGUAUCUGUGAUGCUUUAUCAGCCUUUUUUCAGAAUGGCGCACAUUUCAAAAGUUUUGUUUAGAUUUCAUUAAAAAAAAAUGCAAGGAACUCAGUGGAAUUUUUAAUGAAAAAAAAAGUAAAAGUUGAAAAAGUAUGCUCCUGAAACUCAAGAGAAAGGGUCAGGAAGAUUAAAAUCACGCGACGGCAACAAAAGGCUACCAGGUUGAUUUUUAUCGCACUUCUACACAACUGAUGAUGUUUGACAGUUUUGUUUCGUUUCGAAUGGAUGAUUGUGGAAACGUGAAAGCUAUACGAGCGUUAAUUUGCGGAAGGACGCAUCUAAUAAAAUCAAGCCAAAACUAACUCAAAUGAUUGAGAAAAGUAGGUGUAGAAUCGAAAAACUGUGAGAACAACCAAGGUACAAAAAGUCAUCGGUACUACAUUGAUCUUGCAAAAAAGCUCCCGCCCCCGGGUGGGCUCGAACCACCAACCUUUCGGUUAACAGCCGAACGCGCUAGCCAAUUGCGCCACGGAGGCUCGUUGAGAAACGGCUCGCCGGAUCACUAUAAAAGCUAGGAUGACGCUUCGGAGCAAAUUUGUAGGGUAUUGUCACAGUGGCAUCCAACAGGAACAAAGCCAACCAAAAAUGAAACGAGGGCCUAUUAUGCCGCCUAUUCAUAAUAGCAGAUGAAGCCAUCCAGAAUGGCACAAUGUUGUUACACAUAAGGUCAGUUGGCGUAAGUCGUUUGGCAUUAAGUCAUUUGACUUAUUUUAUCGAAUGAAAUAACGUGAUGAACAAGGCUGAUGGCAACAACAGACUCAAUAAACCGUUGUUUUUAGAAGUA